GCGGGGAUUGAACCCACUAACGCCAGCGCAACAGCCGGUGCUGUGACCGCUGCGCUAACGCGUCGACAUACUAUGAGUAAAGUUCGCUAUCAGGUGUACGUAAUAACAACCGGGACUGACAGCCUAACGUGUUCUCCGAGGCUAGGUUGGGAGAACCACAAGGAUUAACAACUAGACCGAAAAUAAAUAUUUGUGUAAACAUAAAUAUCCACUCCGAGCGGGAAUAGAACCCGCGACCGUCGGUGUUUAGGCGCCGCCGACACGGCACAUGCACCAUUAUAUCAAAGCGGUCGUCAAACAACAAAA
rnacentral:misc_RNA from 1 species